CUUCACCGACCCGAGCCACAGCGGCCGGUCGGCGGAGCGGUCCCUGCCGUACGUCGCCAGCAGCGCCUGCGCCUC
rnacentral:antisense_RNA from 1 species